rnacentral:miRNA from 1 species
UAACUGUGGCAUUUCUGAAUAG